AAUGAACGCUGGCGGUAUGCCUAACACAUGCAAGUCGAACGGAAGCACAGUAAGAUCUUGCGCUUACCGGUGGCGAGUGGCGGACGGGUCAGGAAGACAUCGGAAUCUACUUUUUCGUGUGGGAUAACGUAGGUGAACCUACUCUAAUACCGCAUACGACCUACGGUUGAAAGCAGGGAAUCUUCGUACCUUGCGCGAUAGCAUGAGCCUAUUCCGGAUGAGAUAGGUGGCGGGGUAAAGACCCACCAAGGCGACGAUCCGUAGCUGGUCGGAUAGAAUGAUCAGCCACACUGGAACUGAGACACGGUCCAUACGACUAAGGGAGGCAGCAGUGGGGAAUAUUGGACAAUGGGGGGAAGCAUGAUCCAGCCAUCCCGCGUGGGUGAAGAAGGCCUUCGGGUUGUAAAGCCCUUCUGUUGGGAAAGAAAAGCAGCAGGUUAAUACCCCGCGGUUGUGACGGUACCAAAAGAAUAAGCACCGGCUAACUUCGUG
rnacentral:rRNA from 1 species